GGCCGCUGUGUCUCUGCACACAACGGCUGUCCAGGCCGGAGCAGCCAUAGUGUAGCCUGGAGCCCCCCCACCGCUCCCAGGGAGGGGAGGGGCCGCCUGAGAUCCCUCAGGAAAGACUGGAUUCCAGGAGGCCUGACCCUCCGAGGGGAACUCGUGUGCUGCCCGCCUGCUUCCUGCCGGGGACCGUCGGCCACUGAGCCUUCCAGGACCGGAGCUGCAGGGGCGACGCAGCCACCCACAGUCCCUCCACCUCAUCUUCCGCCGUCCCAUCGCCUGCCAGCUCGUCAUUCAGCGUGGAUUUCCUGAGCCACCCCCAGGCACCAGCACCAUGGCUCAGGCGAUGUGCAGACAACAAAGAAAGAAUCACACACUCACUCCCUGUCAAGUCCUCCCGGGCGCCUGGACUCAGCCGUGGGCCCCAGCCCUCACUCCCCAGGCCAGCUGGGGGCAGACCCAGGUCCUGGGGAUCCCAUGAAGCUCAGAGGUCCCCGACUUCACACCAGCAGGUCACCCAGGAAACCAAAGGAUCAGGAAUACGGAGACUUGCACGGAGUAAAGCUCACAGUCCGGAGCCUGAAUCCGCCGGCGGCGCAACAGGGGCCAGUUCAGAGCAGGCUGGUCUCGUCUCCUCCGGCCACCGCCCUCCCUCCCGGUCACUUGCAGGCAAUCCCCUGACUCCGCGUCGUCUGCCCCGGAGCCUCAGUACACAGGGCAUGUGGGGCCUCGGUGACCCUGAGGUCCAGUGCGUGCCCAGGAGGAAGGGCAAGCACUCAACUCUGUCCCUUUCUGAUUUAUUUUAUUCCUUUUCAGAAUAAUGAGCCCUAGCCUCCGACCAAGGCCCAGUGAGAAUUCUGUAGUAUUCUUUUAAAUAAAAUGGAUUUUAAAGAUA
ensembl:lncRNA